GAAUCCGCACAAGCGGUGGAGCAUGUGGUUUAAUUCGAUGCAACGCGAAAAAUCUUACCAGAGUUGAUAUAACAAAAUAUUGAUUAGUAUAGAUGAAAGUUUGUAUAGUUAUUUUAGUGGUGCAUGGCUGUCGUCAGCUCGUGUUGUGGGAUGUUGGGUUAAGUCACGUAACGAGCGGAACCCUUGUUUCUGUUAAGCUUUUAUCUCGGAAAAAACAACUAAUUUAAUUUAGAGGAAGAAUUGGAUGACGUCAAGUCAGUAUGCCCUGUAUACCCUGGGCUACGCACGUGCUACAUUGGGUAGGACAAUGAGACGCCAAACCGUGAGGUCGAGCUAAUCUACAAACCUACUCUAAGUUCGGAUUGGAGGCUGCAACUCGCCUCCAUGAAGUUGGAAUCGCUAGUAAUCGC
rnacentral:rRNA from 1 species